rnacentral:rRNA from 1 species
GAUGAACGCUGGCGGCGUGCCUAAUACAUGCAAGUCGAGCGAACGGACGAGAAGCUUGCUUCUCUGAUGUUAGCGGCGGACGGGUGAGUAACACGUGGAUAACCUACCUAUAAGACUGGGAUAACUUCGGGAAACCGGAGCUAAUACCGGAUGAUAUUUUGAACCGCAUGGUUCAAAAGUGAAAGACGGUCUUGCUGUCACUUAUAGAUGGAUCCGCGCUGCAUUAGCUAGUUGGUAAGGUAACGGCUUACCAAGGCAACGAUGCAUAGCCGACCUGAGAGGGUGGUCGGCCACACUGGCACUGAGACACGGUCCAGACUCCUACGGGAGGCAGCAGUAGGGAAUCUUCCGCGAUGGGCGAAAGCCUGACGGAGCAACGCCGCGUGAGUGAUGAAGGUCUUCGGAUCGUAAAACUCUGUUAUUAGGGAAGAACAUAUGUGUAAGUAACUGUGCACAUCUUGACGGUACCUAAUCAGAAAGCCACGGCUAACUACGUG